rnacentral:rRNA from 1 species
UACGGAGGGUGCGAGCGUUGUCCGGAAUCAUUGGGCGUAAAGGGCGCGUAGGUGGCCUGCUAAGCGUGCGGUGAAAGCUCGGGGCUCAACCCCGAGUCGGCCGUGCGAACUGGUGGGCUUGAGCACUGUAGAGGCAGGCGGAAUUCCGGGUGUAGCGGUGGAAUGCGUAGAGAUCCGGAAGAACACCGGUGGCGAAGGCGGCCUGCUGGGCAGUAGCUGACACUGAGGCGCGACAGCGUGGGAAGCAAACAGG